rnacentral:rRNA from 1 species
GACGAACGCUGGCGGCGUGCUUAACACAUGCAAGUCGAACGGAAAGGCCCUUCGGGGUACUCGAGUGGCGAACGGGUGAGUAACACGUGGGUGAUCUGCCCUGCACUUUGGGAUAAGCCUGGGAAACUGGGUCUAAUACCGAAUAGGACUGCGCUCUUCAUGGGGUGUGGUGGAAAGCUUUUGCGGUGUGGGAUGGGCCCGCGGCCUAUCAGCUUGUUGGUGGGGUAAUGGCCUACCAAGGCGACGACGGGUAGCCGGCCUGAGAGGGUGACCGGCCACACUGGGACUGAGAUACGGCCCAGACUCCUACGGGAGGCAGCAGUGGGGAAUAUUGCACAAUGGGCGCAAGCCUGAUGCAGCGACGCCGCGUGAGGGAUGACGGCCUUCGGGUUGUAAACCUCUUUCAGUAGGGACGAAGCGCAAGUGACGGUACCUAUAGAAGAAGGACCGGCCAACUACGUGCCAGCCGCCGCAGUAA